GACGAACGCUGGCGGCGUGCUUAACACAUGCAAGUCGAACGGAAAGGCCCCUUUCGGGGUACUCUAGUGGCGAACGGGUGCGUAACACGUGAGUAACCUUCCCUUGACUUCGGGAUAACUUCAGGUAACUGGGGCUAAUACCGGAUAGGAAUCCUUUCUUCAUGGUGGUGGUUGGAAAGCUUCGGCGGUUUUUGAUGUACUGGCGGCUUAUCAGCUUGUUGGUGGGGUUGUGGCUUACCAAGGCUUUGACGGGUAGCCGGCCUGAGAGGGCGACCUGCCACAUUGAGACCGAGAGAAGGCACAGACUGGGACGGGAGGGAGAAGUGGGGAAUAUUGCACGAGGGGCGGAAGCCUGAUGAAGAAGGGCCGCGGGCGGGAUGACGGCCUUCGGGUUGUAGACCGCAUGCAGAAGGAGCGAAGCUUGUGGUGACGGUACCUGAAGAAGAAGCAACGGCUAACUACGUG
rnacentral:rRNA from 1 species